AAUAGAUACCCUGGUAGUCCACGCCGUAAACGAUGUCUACUAGUUGUCGGGUUUUAAUUAACUUGGUAACGCAGCUAACGCGUGAAGUAGACCGCCUGGGGAGUACGGUCGCAAGAUUAAAACUCAAAGGAAUUGACGGGGACCCGCACAAGCGGUGGAUGAUGUGGAUUAAUUCGAUGCAACGCGAAAAACCUUACCUACCCUUGACAUGUACGGAACCCUCGAGAGAUUGAGGGGUGCUCGAAAGAGAGCCGUAACACAGGUGCUGCAUGGCUGUCGUCAGCUCGUGUCGUGAGAUGUUGGGUUAAGUCCCGCAACGAGCGCAACCCUUGUCAUUAGUUGCUACGAAAGGGCACUCUAAUGAGACUGCCGGUGACAAACCGGAGGAAGGUGGGGAUGACGUCAAGUCCUCAUGGCCCUUAUGGGUAGGGCUUCACACGUCAUACAAUGGUACAUACAGAGGGCCGCCAACCCGCGAGGGGGAGCUAAUCCCAGAAAGUGUAUCGUAGUCCGGAUCGCAGUCUGCAACUCGACUG
rnacentral:rRNA from 1 species